UGGCGAACGGGUGAGUAACACGUGGGUGAUCUGCCCUGCACUUUGGGAUAAGCCUGGGAAACUGGGUCUAAUACCGAAUAUGACCGCAUUCUUCAUGGGGUGUGGUGGAAAGCUUUUGCGGUGUGGGAUGGGCCCGCGGCCUAUCAGCUUGUUGGUGGGGUAAUGGCCUACCAAGGCGACGACGGGUAGCCGGCCUGAGAGGGUGACCGGCCACACUGGGACUGAGAUACGGCCCAGACUCCUACGGGAGGCAGCAGUGGGGAAUAUUGCACAAUGGGCGCAAGCCUGAUGCAGCGACGCCGCGUGAGGGAUGACGGCCUUCGGGUUGUAAACCUCUUUCAGCACAGACGAAGCGCAAGUGACGGUAUGUGCAGAAGAAGGACCGGCCAACUACGUGCCAGCAGCCGCGGUAAUACGUAGGGUCCGAGCGUUGUCCGGAAUUACUGGGCGUAAAGAGCUCGUAGGUGGUUUGUCGCGUUGUUCGUGAAAACUCACAGCUUAACUGUGGGCGUGCGGGCGAUACGGGCAGACUUGAGUACUGCAGGGGAGACUGGAAUUCCUGGUGUAGCGGUGGAAUGCGCAGAUAUCAGGAGGAACACCGGUGGCGAAGGCGGGUCUCUGGGCAGUAACUGACGCUGAGGAGCGAAAGCGUGGGGAGCGAACAGGAUUAGAUACCCUGGUAGUCCACGCCGUAAACGGUGGGUACUAGGUGUGGGUUUCCUUCCUUGGGAUCCGUGCCGUAGCUAACGCAUUAAGUACCCCGCCUGGGGAGUACGGCCGCAAGGCUAAAACUCAAAGAAAUUGACGGGGGCCCGCACAAGCGGCGGAGCAUGUGGAUUAAUUCGAUGCAACGCGAAGAACCUUACCUGGGUUUGACAUGCACAGGACGCCAGUAGAGAUAUUGGUUCCCUUGUGGCCUGUGUGCAGGUGGUGCAUGGCUGUCGUCAGCUCGUGUCGUGAGAUGUUGGGUUAAGUCCCGCAACGAGCGCAACCCUUGUCCUAUGUUGCCAGCGGGUUAUGCCGGGGACUCGUAGGAGACUGCCGGGGUCAACUCGGAGGAAGGUGGGGAUGACGUCAAGUCAUCAUGCCCCUUAUGUCCAGGGCUUCACACAUGCUACAAUGGCCGGUACAAAGGGCUGCGAUGCCGUGAGGUGGAGCGAAUCCUUGUAAAGCCGGUCUCAGUUCGGAUCGGGGUCUGCAACUCGACCCCGUGAAGUCGGAGUCGCUAGUAAUCGCAGAUCAGCAACGCUGCGGUGAAUACGUUCCCGGGCCUUGUACACACCGCCCGUCACGUCAUGAAAGUCGGUAACACCCGAAGCCGGUGGCCUAACCC
rnacentral:rRNA from 1 species